rnacentral:lncRNA from 1 species
CAGAUCCAUAGUUGAAUCAGAUAUCAGAUGCCUUGAAGUAAGUAAUCUCAUUUGUUUCUUCAACUAGAAUUCUUUUUUAAAUGUUCAUAGUUAGAACUAGCAUAGUGUCUUGGUUGGAACGUGUGUUUUUAUCUUCUUUUGUUUUUAGUGUAAAGGUUUUUUUUUAGUGUAAAACAUAAAUAUAUAAUCUUGGCAUUUCAAAAGCUCAUGUUUUUUUAUCUGACUGUUUAUGACGUCUUUACACUAAAUCCAUGGGAUGUUGGAUGUGUACGGAUUGUUAAAAAGUAAAAUCACAAAAAACUGACCUCAGAGGAAAAUCAAAUCGGUUUGUCCCUAUUCACAUUGCAAAACCGAAUGACAAAAGACAUAAAAAACGAAUGGACAAGAUAUGCCAUACUCCUAACUUGGUACACGGGCAUUUUCAAAUGUAGAAGUUGGAGGAUUUAACUGGUUUUAUAGCGUUAAACCUUUUACUUUGUACGACAGUCCAAAAAAAGUCCGUUAUAUUUACAAUGAUGCCUGAACUAAACAGACAUAAAAAAUAAAAGUGUCAAGAUUUGGGUACAACAGUCAUCAUCGUGUUAAUUUAGUCUCAGAUGUUUUUUUUUUUGUUAGUUGUCAGUUAACUGCGAGUACUUUUAGAUAUGUUCCUAGUGUCUUUUUGUUGUUGGUAUAAUCAACUUCCCGGCCACGUCCACUUGUGUUUUAGUCCAUCUGAUGAGUUUAGGCUUUUUCAACUGAUGUUUAUUGUUCGUUAUUAUGUUGUACUGUUAUACCACUGUCCCAGGUUGGGAGAGGAUUAGGAUUCCGCUAACAUGUUCAAACCCGCUACAUUAUGUAUGUUUGUGCUUGUCGCAAGUCAGGUUGUCGUUUGUUUAUGUGUUACCUUUUUGUUUUUCGUUCUUGUUUUGUACAAAAAGGUCGUUAUUUUUCUGGUUUGAAUUGAUUUACUUUGUCAUUUCGGAGCCUUAUUUAGCUGACUAUGCGGUAUUGGCUUUGCUUAUUGUUGAAGGCCGUACGGUGACCUAUGGUUGUUAAUUUCUGUGUCAUUUUGGUCUAUUGUGGAGAGUUUUCUCAUUGGCAGUCAUACCAAUGUAUUAUCAGUAUUUAGUUCUAAUAUAAUCUUAAAGCAAUUAUCAGUAUUUAGUUCUAAUAUAAUCUUAAAGCAAUCCUAAUUAUAGCUCACUUUUAAAUUAUAGUUUUUCAUGUGUGACGUCAUGCUGUUUCUAAAUUUCAUAAAUUCAAAUGUGGCAUAACGUUUGCCUUUUCGCCAUCGUAUGUGACGUCAUUUUUUUUAGUUGCGUUGACGCCGCGACUGAUUCUGGUGUGUCUAUGCUGUAUUGAACUUGGCAUCAUGUAUUCGGGUUUAGUUUUCUGUAAUAAGUUAAUACUUCAGUUUCAUUAUGAAUAUAUCUUUCACAUUCAUUUGUUAAAGUUUACUGUUUGCAAUAGUAUGAAUCGUUCUAUAUAAUAGUGUUCUUAUCCCAGGCAUAAAAACAAUGCUGUAUUUGGCAAAACCUUUUCAACUUUUGAUCUUCAGUGCUGUACAUCUUUGUACUUUUUUCACAUUCGAUCUUGUAUAUCUGGGCGUUAUGUAUUCGGGUUAAGUUUUCUGUAAUUAGUUUUCUGUAAUUAGUUAAUACUUCAGUUUCAUUAUGUAUAUCUCUUUCAUAUUCAUUUGUUAAAAUUUACUGUUUGCAAUAGCAUGAAUUGUUCUAUAUAAUAAGAAUGUUCUUAUCCUGGGCAUACAAACAAUGCCGUAUUUGGCAAAACCUUUUCAACUUUUGAUCUUCAGUGCUGUACAACUUUGUACUUUUUUCACUUUCGAUCUUUUAUAUCUGGGCGUCACUGGUGAGUCUUGUGUGGACAAGACGCGAGUUUUUGGCGUAUUGAAUUUUAAACCUGAUGCUUUUUGUUAUGUAUUAUUCAUGCUUUUCUUUGUCUAAUAUGUUCUCCUUUUUAUUUGUAUUGUAGUACUGUAAUAUUAUGUUGUCAUUUCAAUGUUAUAUUUAACUGUGCCAUUAAAGUGCGAGGUUUGGCAUGCCAUAAAACCAGGUUCAACCCACCACUUUUAUUCCCCUUUAAAAGUGUCCUGUACCAAGUCAGGAAGAUGGACAUUGUUAUAAUAUUGUUUGUUUCUGUGUGUGUUGCAUUUUACGUUGAGUCGUUUGUGUUUUCUCUUAUUUUUGAGAUAUUGAGAUAAGACGUGGCACGGUACUUGUCUAUCCCAAAUUCAUGUAUUUGGUUUUGAUGUUAUAUUUGUUAUUCUCGUGGUGUUUUGUCUGUUGCUUGGUCUGUUUCUGUUGUGUUUGCGUUUUCGGUGUUGUGUCGUUGUUCUCCUCUCUAUAUUUAAUGCGUUUCCCUCGGUUUUAGUUUGUUACCCCGAUUUUGUUUUUUGUCCAUGGAUUUAUGAGUUUUGAACAGCGGUAUACUACUGUUGCCUUUAUAUACCACAUCUUCUUUUUUCUAUAUACAAGAUUAUAUUAUGUUACUAAUUUAGUAUUUGUAAUGACUCUCUGUUCAUACCCCAUUAAGACCGGACAUCGACAUGGACUUGUAUGUGGACAAGUAACUGUACAUAGCCGAACGGACGCUCUCUUAUGUGUUUGUGUAUUGUUUGUGCUUGACGGAGGGAUCUAAGUGUCCAUAUCUUCAUUCACCAGUCCCCCUUGAAUGCAUACAGUUUUAAGACGAUUUGUUAUAAAUUUUGCCAAAAUUGUCUACCGAGCUGAUGAUUACCGACAAAAAUAAGACAUUAAUUUGACUACUAAGAUGGAGAUCGUGUUGGCUUAGUAAGACAUACAAGACCAUGUCCACGUCCGGUCAAACUUGUUCUUGGUCCGGCGUUGGCCUGUGACAAAGCAAAUUUUCUUUCUAUCCAAUAUUCAUUAACUUCCUAAAACCUACCUGUUGUGUGUAUUGUUAAUUUAUUUUUGUCCUGAACAUGAUGACAAAUUUUUCACUGGACCUUAGGAAACCAACAUUUAGUCAUUUAAAAAUUUCUUUAGUGGAACCUUAGAUGGUGUUUUAAUUUUUAUUUCUUCUUUGUAAAUUAACUCUUCAACUGUUUCGGUUAUGUUACAUUCCCGAAAUUCACAUUUUUCACAUUAAGAAGUUCCGGAUAAAAAUGAGACCAGAAAAACGCUUUGGACAACAACUAUUUAUAAAGUAAUAAUUUCAUUUUGAUUAGAUAUUUUAUUAAUUUUAAGUUGUAUAGUCAAUUAUGAAGAAGACUAGGGCGGAUUAAGUUUCAUUUUUCUAGUUUCGUUUGUUAAUUUUAAUACCUACUGUGACAUCGGACUCUGACUUCGUUUAAACUGAUAAUACUGUGGGUAUUGUUGUGUGUGUGUGUUUUUUUACACAUUUUUUUGUACAUUGACUAAAGGUUUAAAACAUGUUAAACCCAGCCGCAUUUGUUUGCUCCUGACAUGAGUCAUGAGCCUGUGUCCGUUGUUAGUCUUGUAGGAUUUUUGAUUAAAGUUCUAUUAUAUGUUUUUAAAUUUAGUUUGACUGUUUUUACCAUUUUUACUGAACAAGUACACAUUUUUAUUUAGGGGCCAGCAAAAGCCCGGCUGCGGUACCGGAAUUUUCUCGCUGUGUUGAAGACUCAUUGGUUUUCUUUCGUUAUGUUCUGCUCAGAAGUCGAAGUGUUGUUUCUUUGACAUUUUCUCUAUUUCCUCAUUCUCUUCACCGUAUAUGACUUAUUAUUAUUGGUAGAAUGUAAAUAUAUCUAGUAAACACACUGACAUAUGUUAUGUUUCUCAAUAAUUUAUCAAUUUGAACUAUAUCUGUAUAAUUUGAGGUAUAACUAUGUGUACUUAAAUCUUUAGUGCGUGACCGUACCCCUUUCGUUGUAGAAACAGAUACACCGUAUUGUCACACGGACUAAACAAUAGCUAAACCGAUAAGCUAAUUUCAUUAUAAAUCAUUGUGUUGUGUUGAAAUCACUGGCAAUUUGAUAAUAAUUUAUGUCAGACGCAUAAACCAAAAUAUUCGACAUUUGAUGGGACCUUGUAAACAGUUUAUACAGUCAUAUACUCAGAUCAUAUUCGUAGAUAUAUAUCAUAACAACAUUUUGGUCUAGCGUGUCAUGUUUAUCAUGGAGUUAUUGUGAUCUAGCUUUUCAUAUUUGUCAUGGAGUUAUUGUGGUAUAGCUUAUCAUGGGUUUCAUGGAGUUAAUGUGGUGACAGGUUAUCACAGCUAAGUGCGUGUCAUGUUUGUCAUGGAGUUAUUGUGGUCUUACAUGCCAUGUUUGUCAAGGAGUUAGUGUGGUCUAGCGUGUUAUGUUUAUCAUAGAGCAAUUGUGGUCUAGCGGGUCAUGUUUGUCAUGGAGUUAUAGUGGUGACUUUUCAUCACAGCUAAGUGCUAAAAUUUUCAGUUUUCUGUGUUGAAUAUUGAUCGCCUUCAUUUCGUUACACAUGAUUCAGUCGGAUUUUUGUUUUUUAAUUGUUCCAUUGGUAUACUCAUGAUACUAGUAUUCCUACAUUUUGCUCUUUUUUUUUUAAAUUUGCUUUCCUUCGAAUUUCGAAAUUUGUUUUUGUUUUUUAAGUAAUAACGACAAAAAUUAGUUAUGAACUCCCUCUUUCCCUGCACACCAUGUUCAUAUGUAUUCCUCUUUUAUAAAAUGUAGAUUCUCACACCAACCCUUCCAUUCUUAAAAAAAAAAUCUAUAAUGCAUUUAAUUUCGAAUAUACAAAUAGUGUAAACGGUUACUUUAAUAUUAUAUCAUUGGACAUCAGACAUAUAUUUUGUACAAAAGUAUCACUGCAUGAAUAAUUUCGUAUAUGAGUUAACUGCACAGGCCAACACAUCAGUGUAAACAACUGUUUCGUAAAGCAACUCUUUUACAAAUAUGUUUGUUUUAAUGUUGAUUCUAGUAUGAAGCUUUAUAUGUUCUAGUACACAAUGAUUUGUCCUUACACGCUAACGGUUUUUUUUUACUUUUUGUAUGAAUAUGUUGUUGCUAUACAAUUAUAUAAGACAUAAAAGUGUCUUAUGAAAAAGUGUCCACAUGGACACUUUUCAUUGAAAUUUGGUAUUUAAUAAUGUCCAUUGCCAUGGAAUGGUGUCCUUCAAAAGGACAGAUUUUUACUGCUAACAAUAGGAAAUAGUGUCCACUCACAGGAAAAAUUUUCAUAGUAGUUGUUAUAUGAUUUCUUUUGUGGACAAACUCUUUUUUUUUGCCUUCGGCGAAGAACAAUCUAUUUUAUCGGCGACAAGUCAUAGAUAGGAAGAUAAGGGUGGCAUGAGUGCUAAUGAGACAAUUUUUAUGUCAAACUAACACUUUAUUGAAGUUCGUAAUUAAAGUUAAAAUGCGUCCAGUAAUAACAAUGCCAUGGAUAUCAUUUAAUACUUUAAUCAUAUCAAAAAAUGCCCUGGCGGACACAAUGUCCUGUGAAAAAAAUGUCCACCUGGACAAUAUUAUGGUAGGGAAUAAUGUCCAUGUUCAUGGACACUUUUUCAUACCCGAGGACAUGUUUUCAUAGGAAAUUGUGUCCAGGGCACAUUUAGAUAAGUAAAUAUUGUCAAAAUGUGUCCGGUGGACAUUUUUUCAUGGAGGACAUUAUCAAAUCCUACAAUUACACGACUUAAAAUGUUCUCAUACAUAUCAUUGUAUACUUAGUAACAGACAAUAGAAAAUCUAUCCAAUUGUAUCUCCUCAUAAACAUUAUGUUUUUUAAAGUUUUAAUUCAAAACACAUUUUGGAGAUUGAGAUAGAUGAUCCCUGACUAUUAAAAUAAUCUUUAAAUCAGUUGUCUUUGUUUCGGUGAGUGUCAUAUUUUCAAAGAUUGGUGAGGCGUUUAAAGACUGUUUAGAAAAAAGAAUAAUACAAUUGUCGUGAUCACAGUAGGUCAUGUUUAAGAAUAUCAGGUCAAAUUAUGUCUGUGUCACAAUAAACAAAAUUAAAGGAAGGCUUGUUGUGCAUUUGUUUUUUAAUUUAUUCAUUCCUAAUAAUAACAUCAAGUAUUUUAUUUUCAAAACAUUCUAAACACCAUCUUAAAAUUUAUUGUGUAAACUUAUUCUGAAAUUAUGUUCUCAACUCUCACAGGCAACGUUGCCCUUAGGUAGAUUAGGCUCUUAAAUUGGGUCCUUUUGAGUCAUCAAGCUCCUUACUGUUUCGGUUUCUUAUACAUUUUUGUCUUUAAAAUAUUCAGCUUUGAAAGUUCCUGGUCAAUGUAAACCCAAAGAUGACAGUUUGGAGGUAUGAAACUUAUAAUUGUUGUUUUCAUUUUUGAAUUAAAAUUGAUUUGAGAACAUUGUUAUUUAAUUAUUAAUUACCACUCUUCGGUGCAGAUAAUGAUCCGUACCAUUAUAUAAGUAAAUGGCUGAUGAAUUACAAGACUAGUAUACACAAAUAUUCACAGGACAUAAAGUAUUACGCGGAAGAAUUUUGUGUUCGUUCUUAACGAAAAAACAGAAGUAACUUGUAACAUAAACCAAACACGGAUUGCAAUUCCAUCUAUUUUCUACUCCACAACGAAUCAAAUAGUACACUUUAGCAGUAUAACCAAAUGUUUAGGUCCCUACUAUUGAUUGGUUAUACCAAAACAUUCUGUUAAAUGUCGUAUCAUCUUAGUUUAAAAAAAAUAAUAUCAUUGCAAAACUAUAGAAUUUUCAAAUAAAUAAUCAAGUUAAAAAAAACUGAAAUGUUAGCUUUGUUCCAUAUAUGAAUAGUUGAUUGAUUAAUAACAAACUCAUUAGAGCUUAAGUUUAACAUGUUUAAAAUGUUUGUCAAAUAUGACGAAUCCAAAUAAAGUUUGACUUGCUCACUUUGAACCGCGAUGGUACUCCAAACCGCAAUGGUAACGCUGAAGUGUGAUGGUUUAACACUGAAGUGUGGUUUAUCACGCUGAAGUGCGAUGGUAGCAUUGUGAUGCUAUAUCUUGCAGGUCAGAUCAAAGAUUUUGAAAAAGCGGGCCCGGCGUGCCCAAAUUUGAUAAAGUUUGGAGCGGAACAGGUAAAAAAGGUCUGCAUUAACCACAAAUGAAGCUCCAAAAAGGGCCGGGAACGGCACAAACCCCGGCCCCUCCUCCUACAUCCCUCUUUGUUGGUAUAGCUACGCCGAAGUGCGUUGGUAAAAACGAUGUAUUACAAUGAUAAACUAUAUUGUCUAUGUUUGUAUGUUCGCAUAGCGUUAUAAGAGUCACCAAUAUGAUAAUAUAAGUCAGUACACUAUACUCAGUGUGGACAUGUACAUCAAGGCAGACGCGGAGCUGCGUUAACGUCAAAACGCACGGGCGUAGCACUUGAAUUUCAGUUAACAAACCGUGAUUUUAAUCUAAAUAAAAUUUGAAAAAAAACAUUUUUUUUAAUUAUCCAGAACUUUUACAAACCUUUAUAACUAAUGUCUCAAGUAAAAUUUUUGAAGUAGUUUUUUUUCAUUUUUCAGUAUUGUAUUGAACAUGCUUACAUACGAACUAAUCUUUUUGCAAUUAACAGACGCUCUGGGAUUAUUUUUAUAAUGACGUAAACCUUUAUAGAUUGUCAUGAAACUUAGGCAUACGCUAAUAUUCAAGAUCAAGAACAAAAUAUUUCUUGAAAGGAAAGUCAGUGCCGCUUGAUUUAAAAAAAAACAAUCCUGUCGACUAGUUAAGUGGUAAAUGGAUUCACUUUUUUGCAGUCAACAUUACACUUUAAUAUACUGAAAAAAGCAAGUACUGGCGAGACCUAGAAUUUCACAGAAGCGGAUUUAAGGGGUUGGGGUAUUUUUAACAUGUUGAUUUUUUUUGUAUGUCAGAAUAUUUAUUUCCAAAAUCAAUUAAGCAAUGCCUUCCCAUCCCCAGUUGGCAAACCGUAGAUCUUAAGGUCAAGUUGGUAUUUUAAACAAUAUCGGACAAUCCGUAAGUGUGAUAUGUUAUGACAAGUAGUUGACAAAAGACGUAUCAUUUCAAGUUUACAUCCCAUUUGAAUUAUUGCGCGGAAAGAACUCGCACGUGUUUCAAUUAAAUAAGUUAUUUCCCCUUAGAACCGCGAAAAGCCAGGUAAGUUUCUUCCUGGUUAAAUUCCUCUUCAAACUUCCUGAUAAUGUCUGUGCUCUGCAAAAAAUAGUUAUUAUGUGAACUUUAAAAGAAGCAAGGUAAGAAAGAGAUUUUAACAUUUUGUUUUUCUCUGUGUCUCGACGUGAAAAAUCAUAUCAAAUGAUAAAAUCUUUAAAUAUUAAAAAAAAAAGACCAACACCACCAUUAAAUAACAUUUAACAGGUGUUUAAACAUGCACAACUUGCCAGAGAGUUUUACAUGUAGAAUGUGGGCAGAAUACGGAAUAAGAAAUCAAUGACGCAUAUCAUGUAGCAUGUAUGAUCAUAUAUCUAAGACGCAAGUAUACAUUGAACAACUUUCGUUUCUGUGCACACUGCCACUGUUGCACUUUUUUUUAAAGUAAAUCCCUCCAAUGUGAGCACAUAUACAUGCCAUAUAGCUGAAUUUGUUAAUAACGGAAACGUAGGAAAAAAUACAUUAAUUCAUAACUAAAAUGCUGCAUACAAGUUUUAUUAUUUUUCACCAUUUAUGUGUAUUGUAUCAAUGUAUGUCCUGUAUCUUCUUCCUUUAAUAGGAGCACCACCCACAGGAGUUUGAAAUCCUAUCAAUAAGGGGGUAAAAAUAUACCAAAGUCGACUAUCACAGUAGAAGCUCUACUGUGAUAGUCGACUUUGGUAUAUUGUUUUCUUCGAGAGAAGCUCUACUGUGCUAGGUUUUUGUGUAGGAUUACAUAUUGUUCGCCAUGAAAUUAUGUCCAUCCGACACUUUUUCACAAUAAAUUGUGUCCCAAGAAUUUAAUGUUGUUAUAAAAUAUUGUCUGGACAAUAGUUACCUGAGAUAACAGUCAAGGGUCUAACUUAAAUAAGUUAUUAGAGAAAAUAACACAUAAGACAAACACAAAAACAAUCUGCAGGACAAAGAAGAAAAGGUAGAGAGGCUAAAAUUCUGUCGACCCCUUAUUGCUCUUAAAACAACAAUGUUAACCCAUUUUUAAGUUCUUUGUUUAUAAACAAUAUUUGAUAGAGAGAAACUGAAAUAAAGAAAUAAAGAUCAUCAGGACAAGAUCUACAAAUAAGGUAAAAUGAUAUUUGUACAGGUCAGAGUUAUCUUUCUUUGCUAUUUUCAUAGUAUAGUGUGUGGGUCUUUUAUAUGAUAAAAAGUUAUUUUGAUGAUGUUACCUUAAACCUUUGAUAAAGAAUCUACAUAUCUUUACAACCGAGUGCUUGUUAUACUCAUGCCUAUUUCCACUCGGUUUCAUAUCAACAUCACUGGAGCCUCUAGUUACUAUCACUAUAUCAUUUUCAUGUUUCAGUGACAUCUUUUUUUUUUUGCAGGAACACUUGAACCAUUAAGUAACAAUGAUAUAGGUUUCUAUUGUAAAGCCAAUCUGAAAUCAUGGCUUCUCUUUCUGAAGAAGAGGAGAAUUAUGUCCGGUUAGCCUUGUUAUUGAAAGGAGUGACACCUAGAGCAGUCCGUACCUAUUUUGACAGAGAAUUUUCACCUACCUCUCUACCCUCAACACUGAGUACAAGCCACAACACUCUUUUGGACUUAAAAAUAAAGAGAAUCAUAAACCAGGCUCAGUGGAAUCUUUUGAUUCCAAGAAAUGGUAGGUCUUUAUGUGACUGCAGAAUUUUUGUUAAUUAAGAUUGUAUUCACAUGUGGUUCAUUUUUUUUUCUGGUGAUGGCUACAAAACAAAAAAAAUAUUAUUUAUGAAUGAACAUCUUCAAUAUUUUUCUUACUACUAUUUUUUUUUACAUACUUGUUGCUUUUAAGUUAAGUUUACUUCUGUAUUGAUGGCCUAGAUGUAUAAAGGAACAACACAUGAGUGAGUGUGUUUUAUGUAUCGAUGGCGUAGAUGUAAAAAGGAACAACACUUUAGUGAGUGUGUUCAAUGUAUCGAUGGCCUAGAUGUAUAAAGGAACAACGCUUGAUGGAGUGUGACCUAUGUAUCGAUGGCCUAGAUGUUUAAAGAAACAACACUUGAGUGAGUGUGUUCUAUGUAUCGACGGCCUAGAUGUUUAAAGAAACAACACUUGAGUGAGUGUGUUCUAUGUAUCGAUGGCCUAGAUGUAUAAAGAAACAAUACUUGAGUGAGUGUAUUCUAUGUAUCGAUGGCCUAGAUGUUUAAAGAAACAAUACUUGAGUGAGUGUAUUCUAUGUAUCGAUGGCCUAGAUGUUUAAAGAAACAACACUUGAGUGAGUGUGUUCUAUGUAUCGAUGGCCUAGAUGUAUAAAGGAACAACACUUGAGUGAGGGUGUUCUAUGUAUCGAUGGCCUAGAUGUAUAAAGGAACAACACUUGAGUGAGUGUGUUCUAUGUAACGAUGGCCUAGAUGUAUAAAGAACAACACUUGAGUGAGGUGUUCUAUGUAUCGAUGGCCUAGAUGUAUAAAGGAACAACACUUGAGUGAGUGUGUUCUAUGUAACGAUGGCCUAGAUGUAUAAAGGAACAACACUUGAGUGAGUGUGUUCUAUGUAACGAUGGCCUAGAUGUAUAAAGGAACAACACUUGAGUGAGGGUGUUCUAUGUAUCCAUGGCCUAGAUGUAUAAAGGAACAACACUUGAGUGAGUGUGUUCUAUGUAUCGAUGGCGUAGAUGUAUAAAGGAACAACACUUGAGUGAGUGUGUUCUAUGUAUCGAUGGCGUAGAUGUAUAAAGGAACAAAACUUGAGUGAGUGUGUUCUCUGUAUCGAUGGCCUAGAUGUAUAAAGGAACAACACUUGAGUGAGUGUGUUCUAUGUAUCAAUGGCCUAGAUGUAUAAAGAAACAACACUUGAGUGAGUGUGUUCUAUGUAUCGAUGGCGUAGAUGUAUAAAGAAACAACACUUGAGUGAGUGAGUUCUAUGUAUCGAUGGCCUAGAUGUAUAAAGGAACAACACUUGAGUGAGUGAGUUCUAUGUAUCGAUGGACUAGAUGUAUAAAGGAACAACACUUGAGUGAGUGUGUUCUAUGUAUCGAUGGCCUAGAUGUAUAAAGAAACAACACUUGAGUGAGUGUGUUCAAUGUAUCGAUGGCCUAGAUGUAUAAAGGAACAACACUUGAGUGAGUGUGUUCUAUGUAUCGAUGGCUUAGAUGUAUAAAGGAACAACACUUGAGUGAGUGUGUUCUAUGUAUCGAUGGCCUAGAUGUAUAAAGUAACAACACUUGAUGGAGUGUGUUCUAUGUAUCGAUGGCCUAGAUGUAUAAAGUAACAACACUUGAUGGAGUGUGUUCUAUGUAUCGAUGGCCUAGAUGUAUAAAGGAACAACACUUGAUGGAGUGUGUUCUAUGUAUCGAUGGCCUAGAUGUAUAAAGGAACAACACUUGAGUGAGUCUGUUCUAUGUAUCGAUGGCCUAGAUGUAUAAAGGAACAACACUUGAGUGAGUAUGUUCUAUGUAUCGAUGGCGUAGAUGUAUAAAGGAACAAAAAUUGAGUGAGUGUGUUCUAUGUAUCGAUGGCCUAGAUGUAUAAAGGAACAACACUUGAGUGAGUGUGUUCUAUGUUGAAACCAUGAAAUUGGUUGCAGUCAGGUGCAUUACUUAUAGAAGUGACUUUUCAAAUGUACCGUUACACAAAUUCAUUAUUCCUGAAAUAUAAAUAAGAAUAUCGAGGUAGUAGUGGCACAUCUCAUUACCAUGGAGAUUUAUUUGGCCCUGCCCCCUAAGUCAUGGUCUAUUGACUUCGAAACUUGAACCUUAGUUUACAUGUAUUAGUUUGUGAUUAGGUCAGUUUAUAGGGAACCACUAGUGGUAGGUCAAUGAUAUUUGGUAUGCAGUUGUAUAAGCAUUGGCAUAUCUCAUUUCCAUGGAGAUUAUUUUGCCCCACCCCCCUCAGUCAUGGUCAAUUGACUUUGAAACUUUUGCUUAAUAGUUUAUAUGUAUUAGUUUGUGAUUAGGUCAGUUUAAGAUGAACCACUAAUGUCAUGAAUGUUAAGUCAAUGAUAUUUUGUAUGCAAAUGUAUUGGCAUUUGCAAGUUUCAUUUCCAUGAAGAUUAUAUAACCCCACACCCUCAUUAUAGUUCAUUGACUUUUACAUAGUUUACAAGUUUAUGUUUGUUUAAAGGGAACGACUUAUGAGAUGUCAGUGACCGAGUAUAUACAAAUUUGGUAUGCAGUUGUAUUAGUAUUGGCACAUCUCAUUUCCAUGGAGAUUGUUUAGCCCUGUACCUUCAGUAAUGGUUCAUUGACUUUGAAUAUUUGCAUAACUUACAUUAAAGUAGUGCUAUUUUAAUUUCAACAUUUGCGUUAUCAAAAUAACAAAUAGGCGAGACAUAUCCCUGUGUUAACAGUUCAUUUUGUUAUGUGAAAUACUCACUUAUUAUGCAUGUUAUAAGUCAGGCCAUAAUAGAUAAUAGGUUUGUUUGCCCAAACGCUACCUACCCAGAAAAAAGCUGCCUACUCAAAUUCUUUUAUUGUCCUGAUUUGAAGAAGUUUUUUUAAUCAAAUAGGCAUGAAGACUAAUAAACCAAAAAGAAAAAGAAAAUGCCUACCUACCUACCCACUAUCUCAACCUUUGGGUAGGGUUUGGGUAAAUCAAACUAUUUUUAUGUGUGGCCUCAUAUAAUAACUUUAUUUGGUAUAUUGGUUCCUCGCAACGUCCACAUGUUCGUCAGGUAGGGUUCAUCUGACCUUGGCCUUAUUCCAUGGAUCAGUGAUCAAUGUUAAAGUUAUGGGGUCAAUAUAAGCAAGAAGAUGUGGUAUGAUUGCCAAUGAGACAACUAUCCACAAAAGACCAACAUGACACAGACAUUAACAACUAUAGGUCACCGUACGGCCUUCAACAAUGAGCAAAGCCCAUACCGCAUAGUCAUCUAUAAAACGUCCCGAUAGGACAAUGUAAAACAAUUCAAACGAGAAAACUAACGGCCUUAUUUAUGUAAAAAAUUAACGAAAAACAAUUAUGUAACACAUAAACAAACGACAACCACUGAAUAUACAGGCUCCUGACUUGGGACAGGAACAUACAUAAAUAAUGUGGCGGGGUUAAACAUGUUAGGUCUGUAUCUCAGAUACUAUCAAUAGGUCUACUAUAAUUGGUGUAUCAUGUGUAUGGAAUGAUUGUGAGGUGUGCUUGUCCGAUUGACGGGAUUCAUCUGACCUUUAUCAGUGUGUAUUGGAUGAUUGCGGGAUUAAUUGUAAAGUGUACAUGUCUGUCUUGAAUGAUUCAUCAGACCGUGACCUCGUUUGCAUAGAACAUUGAUAAUGUUAAGUUUAUGUGAUACUUGUAAAGUCAAGGGAAUAACUUAUUAAUAAAUAAGUUAUUACAUGUAUUAGGAAAAAUAACAUAUGAUACAUGUCGUUAUAUUAUGUGGGCUAAAAUAUAAAAAAAACUGUGAUAACAUAUGUAUGUUACAUGUUUCAAAGUGGCAAUAGUUAUAUCCUCGGUUUUUGUCGAGCCUGCGACUUUUGUUGCAGAAAGCUCGACAUAGGGAUAGUGAUACGGCGGCGGCGUUAGCUAACUUCUUAAAAGCUUUAUAUUUUAGAAGGUGGAAGACCUGGAUGCUUCAUACUUUGUAUAUGGAUGCCUCAUGUUAUGAAGUUUCCGUCAGUCUGUCAUUUGUUUCUGGUGGAUAGCUGUCUCGUUUGCAAUCAUACUCGAUCUUUUUAUUUUUAAUUUAUGUUAUUCUCUGUAUAGAUGUUCAAACUAUUUAUUCUUAAUAUAUAAAAUACACAAUUAUUAUAAUCUUAAAAAUAAAUAAAUUCCAGCAUACACCACGAGAGACAGAGAUGUUGUCUAACAAUCGGUUGAUUUAUUAUUGUGUUGUUAAAUAUCAGUAGCCCCCUGUCACGUAUGAUAUCGUUAAUUAUCGCGAGAUUUAAACUCAAACGCGCAUAAAAUUUCGAGAUCAGCGUUGAUUAGUAGCGUAUGUGAAACUGGUCUAUUGAAAAGAUCUGGAAAUAUUGUUUAUGAAAUAGUUUUACGGAACAAAAACCUACGUUUUAUGUGUAGCACUUCACACUAAAUAGAAAAAAGAAGGUGUGGUAUGAUUGCCAAUGAGACAACUCUUCACAAGAGACAAAAUGACAAAGAAAUUAAUAACUAUAGGUCACGGUACAGCCUUCAACAAUGAGCAAAGCCCAUACCGCAUAGUCAGCUAUAAACAUGAUAAAUUAGGCCCCGAAAUGAAAAAUGUAAAACAACUCAAACGAGAAAACUAACAACCUAAUCUAUGUACAAAAAAUGAACGAAAAACAAAAAUAUAACACAGCAACAAACGACAACAACUGAAAUACAGGCUCCUGACUUGGGACAGGCACGUACAUACAGAAUGUGGGGUGGGGGUUAAACAUAUUAGCGGGAUCUCAACCCUACCCUAACCUGGGACAGUGGUGUAAUAGUACAACAUAAGAACGAACUAUAAAAUCAGUUGAAAAAGGCUUAACUCAGCCGAUGGGUACAAAUCGAAAUACAUCUAACAAAAACAAGUGGACGUGGCCGGGUACUUGUAUAUCCAAACAACUAAAAGACAUAAAGUACAGAUCUGAGAGUACUCGCAGGUACUGACAGCUAGUUCAAAGCCAGUAACAACUAAUGAGAAAUCAUGUAUCUAAGACUAAAUUAUUAAUCAUUACACAUCCAACAUCCAAUGGAUUUAGUGUCAAGAUGUCAUAAACAGUCAGAGAAAAAUACAACCUUGUGCAAUGCCAAGAUACAGGUGUCGAAAGCUUGUAGAUCCAUGAAUGUGCAUAUGUAUAUAACAAUAAUAUUUAGUUUGCUUUUAAUUUACUGAUAACAAAAUCAAUACUAAUACCAAUAAAACAGUAUUCAAACAUCUAACUACAGAGUUUAAUUGGUAACUUAAAGUUUAUUUACCUUUUUUGUCAUAAUUAGGUCUUUUCGUGGAAAGCCCUUUUGUUUUUCUUCUAAUUAUUUUUUUUUUCUUCUGCCGUCUGAGAUGCUUUUUUGUCUUACAACAUAUCGAAUGGAUUUUUUGGCCAAUGAUGUUGUACAGUAAUGGAGGUUUCAAAACUCACCCUGAGUGACCGAACACUUAUUCUUAUAAGAGUUAUCUCCCCGCGUCCCCUUUUUCUUGUUAUCGCUAUAUCUCUAAAACCGUAAAAGAUUUUAGCAAACUGUUUUCACCAAAUUGUUUGUCUACUCUUGAGAAUGAUUUGGUUCAUUUUGACUUUAGUGAACGGAAGACAUCUUAUGGGAGUUAUUAUUAAAGAUAGGUGAUUUGUUGGAUCAAUUCAUACGUUAUAAGUCGUAGAGGCCUACAGUUUUUUGAUAUGAAGUCCUUGGUCCAUUUGAAGGAAAUUCAGGUCAAGGUCAAAGGUCAAGGUCAUGUUCUAAAUUUUGAAUUUUGCUUGUUAUCGUUAUACCACAGAAACUGUGACAGUAAAUGAUAUGAUGUGUUUGCCAAAUAACUGUUUACAAUAAGGCGCAACUUCAACCUACUUCAGUCAAAGUGUUUUGGUUAACCCUUAUAGGAGUUUUCUCCCCUUAUGUAUUUGAAAUCAGUAUUUCUCCACAACCAUACAAAUGAUUGACCUGGGGUCUUUUGAUUUGAGAUCACUGACCUAUGACCUUGAAAUUGAAGUCAAGGUCAAAGGUCAAUUUGACAUUCUAGAUUUUCCCUUUAGUGAACGGAAGACAUCUUAUGGGAGUUAUUUGUCAAUAUUUUUAAAGUAAUAUUUUAUCUAAAAAUUAUUUCAAGUCUUCUGCAUACACCUAUUAGUUUUAUUUUUUAUAUCAAUUUGAAGAACCAAAUAACAUUAAAAAGGAGUGACAUUUUAUAACAUCAUUUUUUAAAUUUCAUUCUUAUUAUCGAGGUGGAAAGACCUUCAAUUGUUCUCUGAAGAAUUGGUUUUUAAUUCCAUAAGAUUUUAUUUUGAACCAUUUUGGAUAAGCUGUUUCAUUCGUAAAUACUUAACGGUGCGGUCCUAAUGAUAAAGACUUUAAAUAAAAAAUAAUAGAAGAUUACCACGAACAAUUUGAAAUUUUCUUGUUUCAUAGGUUGUACGAAAAUUUGUCAUCCAUUUAGAUAUCAAAAGUGGGGUUAACUGGCAAAAAAGACGAAACCAAUAUCUCGUCUUUCACUUUGGACUAGUCUGCUUCCCGAGUGGUAAACUGUAUUUUUUGUGCAAUAUGUUUAUUUUUCGCUCAUCCUGUAAUGACCAUUUAUGUCCUGAUUGUAAAUGAGCAUAAUCCCCCCCCCCCUUUUACGAACUUAUAUGAGGAUGACAUGCCUUGUAUGUUUAAAACAUCUGAGAAUAAAUGAUUGUCCCCAUAACAUAAAGAAUGAUGACAAAAAGGGGAGAGGAUCAAUAUUGUAAUAAAGCUGAAGUACACAGUAAUUCUAUACAUAUUUAUGUCUUAUAAAAAAAAUCAUACUGACUCACUCAGACUCGAAUCUUUCACACAAAAAUUCUGUAAGCAGGCUACAAAUUAAAAAACCUUGUCCUCUUAUACAUGUAAAUGAAAUUAUUGAUUAUUUCAAAGAUAUAAUAAUUUUUGUCAAUAUUUUUAAAGUAAUAUUUUAUCUGUAAUUAGUUUUACGUAGUUUUUAAAAUGGUAACCUUUUAACACUGAUUUUAGGACUUUAAGUGAUACACUUCUGUUGCUUUUGAUGUUACACAGGGGUUCCAGAUUCCAAAACUUUUGAUGUAACGUUGAUGAUCUGUUUAAUCAGAAACUUGACAUCUAUCAAUCCUCCAAUCAAUGGAUUUGACAGUCUACCACUACCAGGGGAAAUAACUCCAGGAUCUGAUCUAGCCAGGAUAAAAUGUUACAGGAAUAAACUAGCUCAUCAUGAUAGUAAUACAAUAGAUACUGCUUAUUUCAAAACAGCAUGGAGAGAUAUAUCAGAGGUAAGUUAGUUUCUACA